rnacentral:rRNA from 1 species
GACGAACGCUGGCGGCGUGCCUAACACAUGCAAGUCGAGCGAAUGAAGUUCCUUCGGGAAUGGAUUUAGCGGCGGACGGGUGAGUAACACGUGGGCAACCUGCCUCAUAGAGGGGAAUAGCCUUCCGAAAGGGAGAUUAAUACCGCAUAAGAUUGUAGUAUCGCAUGAUACAGCAAUUAAAGGAGCAAUCCGCUAUGAGAUGGGCCCGCGGCGCAUUAGCUAGUUGGUGAGGUAACGGCUCACCAAGGCGACGAUGCGUAGCCGACCUGAGAGGGUGAUCGGCCACAUUGGGACUGAGACACGGCCCAGACUCCUACGGGAGGCAGCAGUGGGGAAUAUUGCACAAUGGGGGAAACCCUGAUGCAGCAACGCCGCGUGAGUGAUGACGGCCUUCGGUUGUAAAGCUCUGUCUUCAGGACGAGUAAUGACGGUACCUGAGGAGGAAGCCGACGGCGUAACUACGUGCCAGCAGCCGCGGUAACU